rnacentral:rRNA from 1 species
UUGGCCCUACGGGAGGCAGCAGUGGGGGAUAUUGCACAAUGGGGGAAACCCUGAUGCAGCGACGCCGCGUGUGGGAAGACGGUCCUCUGGAUUGUAAACCACUGUCCCCAGGGACGAAGAUGACGGUACCUGGGGAGGAAGCUCCGGCUAACUACGUGCCAGCAGCCGCGGUAAUACGUAGGGUGCGAGCGUUAAUCGGAAUUACUGGGCGUAAAGCGCUCGUAGGCGGUAUGUCAAGUCAAGGGUGAAAUCCCCGCGCUCAACGUGGGAACUGCCUUUGAAACUGGCAAACUGGAGUGUGUGAG